rnacentral:tRNA from 1 species
UCCCUUGUGGCUCAGCUGGUAAAGAAUCCACCUGCAAUGCGGGAGACCUGGGUUUGAUUCCUGGCUUGGGAA